UACAGAGGGGGCAAGCGUUGUUCGGAAUUACUGGGCGUAAAGGGCGCGUAGGCGGCCUGUUAAGUCGAACGUGAAAUCCCUGGGCUCAACCCAGGAACUGCGUCCGAUACUGGCAGGCUUGAAUUCGGGAGAGGGAUGCGGAAUUCCAGGUGUAGCGGUGAAAUGCGUAGAUAUCUGGAGGAACACCGGUGGCGAAGGCGGCAUCCUGGACCGAUAUUGACGCUGAGGCGCGAAAGCCAGGGAAGCAAACGGG
rnacentral:rRNA from 1 species